CCUCCCUGCAAGCCAUUCAUUCCUGAGGCUUGUGGUUCUGGCAGAGCAAUUCUUCAUUAGUGUAUCUUCAAUACUCAGCUAUUUUACAAAUAGAAAGCACCUACCUACUGGACAGAUUUUGUGACAGCCUAGGAUUUCUAAAAAAGAGGGUCGAAACAACCUCAACUAAUGUAUUAUAUGUCUCAAAAUAUUGUCUUGUUGCUUGGCAUUUAGUAUACCUAUGGAUCUUGAACUCCAGUUCUGUUUUUGUAAUUGGACGAGGUGUUCUCUCUCCUGCAGGAUUUGUCAGGCAGUAGUAUUCUGAGUCUUUCUGGUAAAAUACAUGCAAUCUGACCAAUAAAAGGCAAGUGGGCUACUCUUCUUUGUUCUACAGUGCUCAGAGCAGAAAGAAAAUGCUGGAACCAUUUGUGAUAAAACUAGUGGUACAUGGCAGAACACUGUUUAAAUUUUCAUUAGACCUUUGAAGCCAGUGGCUUCAGCAACUUGAUAGACCACAUGAAGGAGAUAUUUUGAAAAACAGCAAGGUAUGGUUGCAUACUUUAAAUGGAAGUUUUACUGUAUGAUUUAUCUUUUCCAUAGGACACAUCACAGUGCAAUUGGAAUUGAUCUCUUACUGUGUUUCAGGUUCACAACCCUCAGGCUUUAUAGGUGAUCUGCUUAAGACAUGUUGACAGAUGGUUGCUUGGGAAACUGAUGAGUUAAAGUGUAUGCUGGUGUCCUAAUAGUCUUCUGAAAUACUGUGCCUCUCACAGAUCCACGGAGAGGGCACCUCCCAUUGUGUCUCCUCUGGGCAGUGCUCCUGCCCUGCUUCUCUGUUCAACACCACUGGGUUUCACCUUAUUUCCAUCUGACUGGAAGAAAUGAGCAAACUGGAAACAGGAGCCUCGGAGCAAGAUUAGUGAGCUGCUUGUGUUCUUGUCUCUCAUCAGAUAUCUUGCUCAUGGAUGUAGUAGAGAAAGUUAUUGCACUCCACAAACCUAAAAGGAAAAUCAUAGCAAGGAAACAGCUGUUAGGUAAGUCUUCAUACAAAUCACUUUAGUGGCCUGUUAGAUAAGGCUUUGAAAGAGUGAUGGAGGGAGGAAAUAACAGAAUUUUGUUCAGCA
rnacentral:lncRNA from 14 species